rnacentral:rRNA from 1 species
AUGAACGCUGGCGGCGUGCCUAAUACAUGCAAGUCGAGCGAACGGACGAGAAGCUUGCUUCUCUGAUGUUAGCGGCGGACGGGUGAGUAACACGUGGAUAACCUACCUAUAAGACUGGGAUAAUUUCGGGAAACCGGAGCUAAUACCGGAUAAUAUUUUGAACCGCAUGGUUCAAAAGUGAAAGACGGUCUUGCUGUCACUUAUAGAUGGAUCCGCGCUGCAUUAGCUAGUUGGUAAGGUAACGGCUUACCAAGGCAACGAUGCAUAGCCGACCUGAGAGGGUGAUCGGCCACACUGGAACUGAGACACGGUCCAGACUCCUACGGGAGGCAGCAGUAGGGAAUCUUCCGCAAUGGGCGAAAGCCUGACGGAGCAACGCCGCGUGAGUGAUGAAGGUCUUCGGAUCGUAAAACUCUGUUAUUAGGGAAGAACAUAUGUGUAAGUAACUGUGCACAUCUUGACGGUACCUAAUCAGAAAGCCACGGCUAACUACGU